rnacentral:rRNA from 1 species
UACGUAGGGUGCGAGCGUUGUCCGGAAUUACUGGGCGUAAAGAGCUCGUAGGUGGUUUGUCGCGUUGUCCGUGAAAACUCACAACUCAAUUGUGGGCGUGCAGGCGAUACGGGCAGACUGGAGUACUGCAGGGGAGACUGGAAUUCCUGGUGUAGCGGUGGAAUGCGCAGAUAUCAGGAGGAACACCGGUGGCGAAGGCGGGUCUCUGGGCAGUAACUGACGCUGAGGAGCGAAAGCGUGGGGAGCGAACAGG